CAACCUGCCGCUUACUCGGGGAUAGCCUUUCGAAAGAAAGAUUAAUACCCGAUGGUAUAAAGAGCUCGCAUGUUCUCUUUAUUAAAGAAUUUCGGUAAGCGAUGGGGAUGCGUUCCAUUAGAUUGUUGGCGGGGUAACGGCCCACCAAGUCUACGAUGGAUAGGGGUUCUGAGAGGAAGGUCCCCCACAUUGGAACUGAGACACGGUCCAAACUCCUACGGGAGGCAGCAGUGAGGAAUAUUGGUCAAUGGACGCGAGUCUGAACCUGCCAAGUAGCGUGAAGGAUGACUGCCCUAUGGGUUGUAAACUUCUUUUAUAAGGGAAUAAAGUGAGGGACGUGUCCCUUUUUGUAUGUACCUUAUGAAUAAGGAUCGGCUAACUCCGUGCCAGCAGCCGCGGUAAUACGGAGGAUCCAAGCGUUAUCCGGAUUUAUUGGGUUUAAAGGGAGCGUAGGUUGACGUAUAAGUCAGCUGUGAAAGUUUACGGCUCAACCGUGAAAUUGCAGUUGAUACUGUAUGUCUUGAGUGUACAAGAGGUGGGCGGAAUUCGUGGUGUAGCGGUGAAAUGCUUAGAUAUCACGAAGAACUCCGAUUG
rnacentral:rRNA from 1 species